UGCACGGUUGGCACACAGCUUUCCAUGAGAACUCUCCGGCCUCACUUCAGAAGCACAGGACUCUACCUGGCUGCCCUGCAUUACAAUGAAAAUACUGACUGACCACAGGCAACAUCUACAGGUGGAGAGCUGCUAUACAGUCAACUUCCCCAAAUCUAAGCAUGGAGAAUGAACCGCAAAGCCUGUGAAAGCAGAGCCAACAUUCCAUAAGUUUUACAAUCUUUUAUUUGAAACCCACAAAUAAAAAAAAUAAAGAUGGACACACAGGCAAUAACACAAAAGGUUGAAAAUAAACACAAAUAAAAUCUGAACGAUUUUUUUGAUGGUUUUCAAAUUAAUAAAUAAGGAGGAUGUAUAAAUUAGGAGAAAUACGAAGAGACAUUUGACAACACUGCAGCACAAGGCUUUUUGGUUCUAGUGUAUUUUUCUUGUAAACAUUAUUUUUUGUUUACUGCACUGCAGACUACGUUGAUGCACUGUUGGACCUGAUCUUCAAGAAGGUUUUCCAGGACCCUGGCCCAUAUGUGAACGAGGUGCUGAAACUUACAAUCCCUGAAGUCCUCUCGGCUCAGUAUGAAAGACCCAACAAGCUGGACGUUAUAGCCAGUUACAUGCCAAGGUUCAAUCAAGGACAGGUCUGAACCUAACAUACUGUCCUUCUGUGUCAGGGAACUCUGCAUGAAUCCUCAGCACCACACAGGCAGGCAGCACAGCUCUCACUCUCCGCCCCAGAAAGCACCAGCACCAGCUUACAAAGCUUCUGUAGGCUAGGUAUCUAUACUGGCUGGACACAAUUCAGUAGAAAGUCAGCAUUGACUGUUCACAUCCAUGGCAACUGGCAAGUUUAACUGUUCCACUUUAGAUAUUUAUUUUGUAUGUCUACAAUUGUUUCUUGCAAUAAAACAUCUCUCCCAACUGUUCUGUGUGUUUUCAUUGUUUGAUAUGUAGUUUUCAUGUUACCAAGUAAAAGAUAGUAACGAUAAACUAUAAGCAAUGUAAGACAGAGAAAGCAGUUAUGUACUUUAUAACACUUUUGCAAUAAAUUAAUAUUUAUGGGCCUAAAAAGCUUAGA